AGAUCAAUCACCUAAAACAAAGGAGGAAUACAAUUAUAUGGAUAAGGUUCCUUAUGCUUCAGCUAUCGGUUCUCUAAUGUAUGCUAUAAUUUGCACAAGGCAAGACAUCGCCCAUACAGUGGGAGCUGUAAGUAGAUACAUGAGUAACCCAGGAAGACAACAUUGGGAGGCUGUGAAAUGGAUUUCUAGGUACCUAAAAGGCUCCAUAAAAGCAUGUCUAUGUUUCACCGGAGAAAGUCUAUAGUUAAAGGAGUUUGUUAAUGUUGAUUUGGCCGGAGAUGUUGAUAGUAGAAAGAGCACCACUGGUUUUGUUUACACUUUGGGAGGUACUGCCGUAUCAUGGGGUUCCAACCUGCAGAAGACAAUGUCUUUAUCUACUACAAAAGCAGAGUAUGUUGCGGUGUCAAAGCUUCAAAGAAGAUGAUUUGGCUACAAAACUUCUUGGAGGACUCGACAAAAAGAAUUAGAAGGAUACUUUUUAUAGCGAUAGUCAAAGUGCCAUAUUCCUUGCCAAGAAUCCAGCAUUUCAUUCCAAGAUAAAGCACAUUCAGAUCAUGUAUCAUUUCAUUCGAUCCUUACUUUACAAUGGACAGUUGAUACUUGAAAAGAUUUGUGAAAGCAAGAACCCUGCUGAUAUAUUGACAAAGGGUGUUACACUAGAGAAACUGAAGUUAUGUACAACUUGAGUUGGUCUUCUGGUCUGAAGGCAAAGGCCACAAGUUGCAGAGGAGGAGGAUGUUCUUUUCUGAGGCAGAUGGUGAUGCAUUGGUUGAUCUAGUCUCCAAGUGGGAGAAUUUUUGGGCCUUUUUGCUGAGUGUUGGGCCUUUUUCUGUGGAGCCUAGAUCAUGUCUACCCAAGUCCAAGUCCAAGAAUAUUAGGGCUUCUGUCUUUUACAUGUUGCUAUAUAUGUAUUCUUUUAUUUCUUUCUUUUUUUUUUUUGGCUGUGUGGCUGUAUAUAUAUAUCUGUGAGCACGUCAAAAGGCUGUGUAUGUGUGUAUAAUUUCUCAGGCAAUAAAAUCCUCUACAGUUUGUGAA
rnacentral:lncRNA from 1 species